ACGAAGGUGGCAAGCGUUGUUCGGAUUCACUGGGCGUACAGGGAGCGUAGGCGGUUUGGUAAGUGGGAUGUGAAAUGCCUCGGCUCACCCGAGGACCGGCAUCCCAAACUGCCAAGCUUGAGUAUGGGAGAGGAUGUGGGAAUUCCUGGUGUAGCGGUGAAAUGCGUAGAUAUCAGGAGGAACACCGGUGGCGAAGGCGCACAUCUGGCCCAAUACUGACGCUGAGGCGCGAAAGCUAGGGGAGCAAACGGGA
rnacentral:rRNA from 1 species